UACGUAGGGGGCAAGCGUUGUCCGGAAUCAUUGGGCGUAAAGCGCGUGUAGGCGGUCCGGUAAGUCCGCUGUGAAAGUCGGGGGCUCAACCCUCGGAUGCCGGUGGAUACUGUCGUGCUUGAGUACGGAAGAGGCGAGUGGAAUUCCUGGUGUAGCGGUGAAAUGCGCAGAUAUCAGGAGGAACACCAAUUGCGAAGGCAGCUCGCUGGGACGUUACUGACGCUGAGACGCGAAAGCGUGGGGAGCAAACAGG
rnacentral:rRNA from 1 species